UACGUAGGGGGCAAGCGUUGUCCGGAUUUAUUGGGCGUAAAGAGCGUGUAGGCGGCUUUACAGGUCCGUUGUGAAACCUCGAGGCUCAACCUCGAGACGCCGGUGGAAACCGUAAAGCUAGAGUCCGGAAGAGGAGAGUGGAAUUCCUGGUGUAGCGGUGAAAUGCGCAGAUAUCAGGAAGAACACCCGUGGCGAAGGCGGCUCUCUGGGACGGUACUGACGCUGAGACGCGAAAGCGUGGGGAGCGAACAGGG
rnacentral:rRNA from 1 species